rnacentral:pre_miRNA from 1 species
UCUCAGAGAUGAGCAAAGAAAGUAGUUUCUUGAGUUGGAAUCUACCCCUGGCGAAGAUGCUUGUGGA